rnacentral:rRNA from 1 species
ACUCCUACGGGAGGCAGCAGUGGGGAAUAUUGCACAAUGGGGGAAACCCUGAUGCAGCCAUGCCGCGUGUGUGAAGAAGGCCUUGGGUUGUAAAGCACUUUCAGUAGGGAGGAAGGUAGUGUAGUUAACACCUGCAUUAUUUGACGUUACCUACAGAAGAAGCACCGGCUAACUCCGUGCCAGCAGCCGCGGUAAGUACGGAGGGUGCGAGCGUUAAUCGGAAUUACUGGGCGUAAAGCGCAUGCAGGCGGCCUGUUAAGUCAGAUGUGAAAGCCCGGGGUCUUAACCUCGGAAUUGCAUUUGAAACUGGCAGGCUAGAGUCUUGUAGAGGGGUUAGAAUUUCAGGUGUAGCGGUGAAAUGCGUAGAGAUCUGAAGG